rnacentral:rRNA from 1 species
UAGAUACCCUAUUAUAAAAAUUUAAAUUAAUUUACUAAAAAAUUAAUAGUUAUGUUCUUUAAAUUUAAAAAAUUUGGCGGUAUUUUAGUCUUAUUAGAGGAACCUGUUUAUUAAUUGAUAAUCCACGAUUAAUUUUACUUAUUUUAAUUAAUUCAUAUAUCGCUGUCAUGAAUAUAUUUAAAAAUUUAUUUUCUUUUUUUAUUUUUAUAAUUUAUGUUAAGUCAAGAUGUGGUUUAUAAAUAAGAAUAUAAUGGGUUACAAUAAAUUUAAAUUUUGGAUUUUAAAUGAAAAUUAAAAUGAAAUUGGAUUUAAUAGUAAAUUUAUUUAUUUUAUAA